ensembl:lncRNA
CCCGCAGACACGGAGCGGUUCGGCUGACGGCCCUCGGGACGGGCCCGGCCUGCCUUCCGGGGCUGCUGCGCCCCACAUCCUCCAGUGAGGCUGCCUGCGUGCCCGUACGUGCUGGUUGGGUUACUCUGAGGGUCUGCAGGUAACGACGUUUGUGCAAUGAGGGCGGCGAGGCAGUGCCACAGGUUGCCCGGAGAGGCGGUGUGCCCCAUCCCUGCACACACCCAGGGUCAGGACGGAGGGGCUCUGAGCACUGAUGGGGCUGUAGGUGUCCCUGUUGGUGCAUCGGGCUGGACCCGAUGACCUUCAAAGCUCCCUUCCAACUCCGGCUUCUUAUGAUCCUAUGCCGGCCAUGUGCUUCCCUCUGCUGUCUGCUGUGGAACGUAAGGCGUUAUCGGGUCUACAGUAAGACCUGGGAUAAACCUUCAACUUCCAGUAAGCAGCACCUCUCUGACAGUUAUUUAAAGCCUGUCCGCAUUGUUCCAGAGCUAUUUCCUUUUUCCUCUAAGGCAACCUACAGUAGGAAACCGGCGGUCCCUCAGGUAGCCCGCUUCCACUUCACUUGAAGUCUUGCCUGCUCGUUGCAUUUGGGGCCAGCAGAGCGAUCUGCAGAGGCUGAAAAUUGUCUGCGGCUUCCUGCCUUUUGUGGAGUGGGCCAAAGAUAACAGUUUUGGUUUGGUUUCGGACGGCCCAGGAGUGGGCCUGUUGUGAUUCAUGCGUUCCACUUGCAGAUUGGCAUUGCUGAGACUAUAAAAUGGACGUGCUUGCUUUGGACGGCCUUCCGUAGCCUUUGAAGGGCACAGAAGUGUUCUCCCUGGUUUUGGUGGGAGAAGCAGUCUGUUUGGUGUGCUAGGCUGGUGUGCCAGUUAGUAUCUCCUACUGAUAGGAUGGGAAAGGACAGGGGAUUGGGGUCUCAUUUGUGAAGACUGAAUGUUUGUAGAUGGGGCGUUUUGCACAUUACAUACAAUUUGCAGACCAGUGAUUUGGUAGUUUGUUUUAACCGAUCCAUCUGCCAUCUUAACUCUAGAAAUGAAUGGAAAAGACAGCGUGCUGUGAAUGGAAGUCGUGCUCUGUGAAACCAGCAGUUACUCGUGUGGUAACAGAUAUGGUCUGCGGGGAAAAAAGAGAAUGAACUGAAAGCGAGACGUGGAAAUCAAGCUAUGGGAAAGGGUUUCUUUUGUGACGUUGUGGAUGACCGCAAGGAUUGGCAUUUGUAGCAACCAGAGCCCAUCUCAGUCAUGCAGGGAGUCGCUUUGUAAACGCAGUUUUCCUGCCAACGAGGUUUGUUUGCUUGGUGAUAAGAAACAAUGGUCAACUCGAUGUGCUACUUAAGCAUUUCAGUGCUUGAGAAGAGGAAUCUAGGUUUGUGCUGAACCUGUUUUCUUAGUUAGUCAAAUGCCGGCUUGGCAGCCAAUCUAGAAGGCUGGUAGCACCGAGGCAGAGUGAUUAUGAGGAUUGUUUUCAGCAGCCUCUGCUAAGUCUGCUUUUAUGAAACUUCUUUCCGUUGAGGAAAACAGGUCUUAUCUUCAGGAUUGGAAGCACCGCAUGAGGGAGAGGCACGGGCCAUACUUUUCAAGGUGCCUGAAAAGCAGUGAUAGUUUUGGCUUUGAGUAAGACUGGUGUUCAUCCACGAGAGUGAUAUUAGCUGCAGUUAAGGAGGGGAAAGCAUGGCACAGAGGAGCAACAAAAGGUGUGAGUUUUCCAGUUGUACAUGGAGCACUCGUUUUUGUUCUGCUAAGGAGAGUGUAGUUACAUUGGUUUGGGUUUGUUUUUUCCACUUCCUGCAUCUGGGGGUUGUUGUACCCUAAUACAGGCUCUUUUUCUUAUGGCACAGUGGGAUGGCACGAUCGGUGUGUGGCCCUGGGGGCACCCAGGCCUGAAGCCGUGCCCUCACUGUGUGCUGAGAGCUGGCCUUGGGGUGAAGCCAGGUGGUGCCUGACACUGGGUGAGCUCCCAGAGGAGGACAGCACACUCCAGGUCCCAUCCUUAUUUUACUGGUGUUGCAAACAAGUUAUUCUUGUACUCUGCAGAAAGCCUCACGACCACAAAACCAGCAAUAAUUGUAUAAAUGAUAAGCUUGUUUUCCUCCUCCUCCUCCCAGAUAUUCUGAGUGCGACAGACAGCAGAGAUGUGCAUUGCUGGAAUCCAGAGAGUUUCAUAACGUGGCAGCCGCUUGCUGCAUAUGCCACUGCAUACAUAAAGCGGUAUUUAUUUUAAGUAUUGAGGAACAUUCUCUCUAAGUAGAAGAAAAAAGCGUUUAGGUGAAGCCGGUCCCAUUUGUUUACAAGUCUUGGUUUUUGUCUUUAUACAUUUUAAAUGCUUUUUAUUUGUAUUCUGAUUUUUUUUUUUGAGCCUUUCAAGUUCAUGUUUUCCAUUUCUCGUUGUUCACACAACAAGAAAGCCUGGAUUGAGUCCUUACUUUAUAAAGGAAGAUCUCAUUGAGUGUCCCCUCUAACCACACAACCUCAGCCAAAGGGUGUUUAAAAAUACAGCCCCUUUUGAGAGAAUUGCUUGUCUUGAGAGCAGUUUUCAGCUCCGAGCUUAAGUAAUUUAAGUAAAUACUUUGUUGGCGGUUUAAGAAGCUUUUAACAACACCUAUCUCUGUUUGCUUUUCAGGGAGGUCUCUCUUCUACUUUUCUGAACAUCUAGAGCUUGUUUCACCUCUGUAUGUGCUGAUGAAGUCAGAAACGUAGUGUACCAGCAUGACUAACGUGUGUUGAAUAAUGCAUACAAAUGCCUUCAGAAAUACAUGCACAGAUUUCAUGCAGUCCCCUUAAGCUGCUGAGCAGCAGGGAGGGUGCAGAGCCCCUCCUCAGGGCGGCAGGAGGAGGUGUGUUGGCAUCCUGGGAGGAGCAGAAAACCUCUGUGGUUCCCUGAGGAAAUCACAGAUGCGUUCGAGGCCUUAAGCUUGGUAGCCUGAUGUUUAACCCUGUCCUUGUUUUUGGAAUGCUGUUAACAGAUAAGUGAGCAUUUUAAAUCUGUUGUUGUUUGUUGCGGUGCUGCUCUCAAGCAGUGCACAUCAAGACCAGGAGGAGACAUCCUUCCUCGGCUCAAAGAUUCUGCCUCUCCCUGCUAUGGAUACAAGCACAAGCACCUGGCUAUGCGUUCCCCAGGCUGCACAGACAGCUUUCUGGCCAGCUGCUCUCUCUGCUCUAUCCCUACCAAUAACAUCCAGGGAAAGCAGGGGCCGACUGCUGUCCUGUGGCUGUGCGAGAGCCCCAUUCUGUGCUCCCAGGCCAGGUGCUCCAGAAUGGCUUUUCUAGGAGGUUACGACUUGUGUGGUUUCAAUCGCAUAAGUCUUUGGCCUUGUGCCCUGAAGUGCCAGCAGAGGCAUGCUGUAAUUGCCCGUAAACGCACCGUCUGUCAUUAUCAUUGUUUAAUUAUUCCAGCUUCUCACCGCCACGCACUGCUCAGUGUCUCUCCUGCUAUCUUUAUUUAAUUGAGUGGAAAAAAUCUGAGACUUGUGCUUCACUUACGUCACUUUGUAUUUAUCCAGCAUCACUGGAUCCCGCUUUGAAGUCCCAGCUUUUGUAUGCAGAAGUCGGUCUUCUAUACAGACAAAAUAAUGUCCGUGUCAAAAGCGUAUGUUAGAAAUAGAAUCAAUAUUUUAACACAUGGUAAACUCCGGCCACAAAGCUCUUAGCACAGUCAAAUGAUUGUAUGAUCAUCCUUUGAAACUUGGCUCUGCCCCUGGGAAACAAGAAAGGGAAAGAAAACUCUUGAAUAACCAAGCCCUUGUCCUCACAGCGCAGGACUGUUCUCAGCCUGUCGCUUUGUCUGUGCCACUCCUUCCUUUUCCGUCUCCCAGCUCUGUUUUCUUCUGCAUCAAACGCAUUCAGCUCCAGGAGCCUUCUUUCUCCAGCCCAUCCCUAUGGAUCUGUUUUAGUGCAUUACCAGACGUCAGUUCCGUCCCGAGAUCGCCCUGCACCGUCCCCGUGGCAGUUCCACCACGUUUCAGACACCUCUACGCUUCUGUACCAAGCUUGCAACUAACCAAAUUUUAAUGUGAUGAAAAAGGUAAUCUUUCUGAGAUCUCUCCAACGCUCCCCUUGUCCGUAUGGCCUGAAAAGACUUGGCAGCGUGUUGGCUGCUUUUCUUUUCUCCCCUUUCCCCGUGUCAGUGACAAAUGCACAUUGUUUUUCUGGUCUUUCAGUCUCCGAGCCAGACCAACGCUUUGUGCAGCACCUAGCUCACCGGGUUGCUAUCAAGGCAGCUGUGUGCUCCUACACCAACACAAAAUAUUGGGGUUGCUGGCACUCACUCUGGCCUAGUUUGCCUCUCUCCUCGCAGAAGGAGUUUCAUGACGUCCUCCUGGAAGAUCAUUGUACACCUGAACAGGUCUACCUUUCAGGAUUCUAUUUUACUUUUUCAUAAAUCCUCAGCUGAGGUUUUCAUUUGCAGGUGUGCUCCUUGUAAUGCUCGGCUCCCUGACUGAGCCAGCAUCAUUUUUGGGGUUGUACUUUCCGGCUUCUCAUAGCUGUAAGAUUAUUAAUUUCAUACUAUUUUCUGAUUUGUUUCAUUUUUCAUCCAUCUCUUUCCUGCAGGAGAGAGCAAUUUAUAUCAUGAUUUCGCUGUGGAAUUGACUUCAGGCUUUACUGCUAUUUGUCACCAUUCAGGAAAUCCAUCCCUGGCUCGAGAAGAACACUCAGUCCCUGCUGACAGUUUGAAAGAGGGAGAGAAAAUAGAUAGCAGAGCUGCAGCUAUUAGGACCAACAGGCACAUAUUUUAUUCCAACUCAAUUUUCCAUUUCCAAAUGCCUUUUGAAGAAAACCUUUCUGUUUGAAAGAACAUGAAGGAAGGUUGUGGGUACCGGUGGGUUUUUUGGGCGGGUUGGGGGGUUGUUUUGGUAGUGAUGGUUUGUUGUCAAUGUUGUUUCGUAGGGACUCUCCUGUUCUUGAUGAUGUCCAUCUUCUUCCACGUUUCAGGCAGCAGGCUCACAACAACGACAAGAUGUUAUCCCACGGAAAGCUGCUGCUGCUGCCUCUGGCCUUGGUUAACCUGUUGGCAAUGGUGCUUGCCUGGGCAUGGGGCAACUGGCUUUUCACACAGCUCAGCAUGGACGUGCUGCCACUCCCAGUCACUUUUAGGACACAGUAGAAUUGUUUUUCUUGAGAUUACUGUACCCAUUAAUCUUAAGAAAAACAUGUAAUAAAACUGUUCAGCCUUCCUGGGGCCACCACUCCCAGAGACCUUUCCCCUUUUUGGCUUCUGCAAUAGCUUCUUUCCUUUGGCUCUGUACCUUUAUCAGCUAGAAAUGAUAAACUACAAAGCUGGUUGGCUUCAGGCUCUCUUUUUUGCAGGACAGGCUAUGCUUGUGCCUAUUGAGGACUGGAAGAUCACAGAGGAUGAGGGGGAAAGGGAAGGCUGCUCGCUCUUGUACACAGUGCAGGGGCAGGAUACAGCCUUUUAUGAAGUUCAGCAAAGAAAAACUUGGGCUUUCCUGCACACCGUGCCAUACCAGUCAGCCUGGUACUUAUGUUCCUGGACCUUUGAAGGCAAGAAACAACAUGCAGUGGGAAUGAAAUCUAAGCCUUGCUGCACCAGAACACUGGUUGCAGCCAAGUUUAGAAGUCUGACGUGAGAGUCAGGUGGAGCAGGUACCAUGGCAGGAGAUGCCAUGUAUCACCUGCAGGCAUGCAGAUCUGCAGUGCUGCUACAGCAUCAGAGUCCAACUGCAAUGUGUGGCAUGUGAGAAGCUGGUGAACCCGCGGCCACGUUCGGCUUGAAUGCACUUUCCUUGGGAGGAAGUGGCUUUUCCCUCGGAGAGCUCAACUCCCCAGGGUCCCUGUGAGGCUGUGCCAGCUCUUCCAGCCUCCCCACUUUCUGUGUACCUGUGACCAUGGCAAUACAGCCAGGAUUACAUCUAAGGUGAAGACAGAAAAACCAUGAUGAAGGUUUAUGCUAUUUUCAUGACGAAUACGAUGCUCACAAAAAUGAAAAGCAUGAAUGGCAGUAAUUCAAGAGCCUCUCCCAGU